rnacentral:misc_RNA from 1 species
GACAUCUUUUAGACUACUUGCAAAUCAAUGAGCAAAACAGUACCAAUAAGUUUUCACAAAACUGUAAAAAUCACUAACAUUCUACCAUUUAUUUGUUUGACCACAUAAAGGGAGAGAGCACAGAUAAGGACAGAGUGCCCUAAUCAAAAUGAAAUUAACAAUGCUAGAAGAUACCAAAACUAGAGAAAAUAAUUCUUACACUUCCAGGACAUCAGGUGUAGGAAGUUUGGAGACAAAAUGAAGCACUGCACUUUCCAGAAAAGA